AAAAAUCGAAAAAGGACGAUCGAUAACACGUCCGGGAAAACGCAUUUUCCGGAAUUAAGCGUUAAUAGUUAACUGAGACAUGUAACGAAACACAUACAUACGAGUAUUGUUAUAAUAUAUCGUUUGCGUCUCCGAAAUCUUGGAGUUCGAUCCAAAUAAAAAGACCAUAUGCAAUUAUUGACGGUUAGGCCCGUGACCGUUGCGCUCGUGUACGUAAACAAUACGGGGGUAUAAGAUUACAUUUUUUUUUUUCUGGCCAUCCUGACAAUAAAAUUACGCGAUUAUCUUGAUAUGCGGCAAAAAAUUUAAAUCGUCCGGAAAACGAUCCGAUUCGGCCGGGGAGGCGCUCU